UUCACGGAGGCUUACGAUGGUGCAUCACCACACCAAAAGAACCGGGAAUACAAUUUAUUUCUUGCACAGCAAUCAAAUCACGAACUGCUUUGAAAACAACAAAUUAUAAAGAGGAGUAGAUAUCGAGGCGAAAUCACAGGAGCGACCACCGUAAACAGCGAGGAACGUAUGAACGUGCAAGAAGAGGACUACAACAUUUUACCUUUUUUGUGGGGAAAAGCAGAUAUCUUUUGAAGCAGAUCAAAUGGUCCAUCCCCUUUCCUUUCUCGAGCGGAAUUCGGGCUGGCUAUCAUUUUGAAUCUAGCUCCAAAAAAUCUGCCACCGGUGACGACUUUAACCCCUUGCUCUCCACUUGCCGUGGUACAGAACCCAAGUAUGCAGUGUGCUCUGGAAUAUGUCUUUGCUAGUUUAUGCGUAUAUUGCAUUUUUUAUUAAUAGUUUAAACAUUUCAGCCUCUAUUUUUAAGCUCCGCUGGAGAUUGUAUUCACCAGGAUAUUGUUUUGAAAACAUGCAUUUUGAAACAAACAAAAGAAAAAUCACAUUCUUUUUGUACUUAAGUCGCUUAACGCUCAAGCUUUUUCAUUAAUAGUUAAUAUGAAAUAAAAGAAAUCUCUUUGGGCGAUGCAUUACAUAAGUGGUGUUAAGAAAUGAGGACUGACGCAUCGAGUAUUCCGACGGUUAAAGGCAGGACAGCAGGACUAGUGUUUGCCAAUAUUAGUAUUUUAAUCAAGAUUUUGUUUCUGUUUAUGAUUUGAGACUCUGGCUCUCCGUGUUCACAGCGGACCUUGAUUUAAUGUCUUACAAUUAAGGCACGCGGUGAAUGCCAAGAGCUGAGCCUUCUCCCGUCAGUGUAUGUAGCCACCAUUUUCCUGGAUGCAAAAAAAAAGCAUUCUGUCAGGUAUGGGUUUUCAGCAUUAUGUUUUUCCCCCCAAAUGGUGCACUGCAAAAUAUAUAAACUCAAAAAACAAUAAAAAACAAUCAAUGACGAAUCAAACAAUA